rnacentral:rRNA from 1 species
GACGAACGCUGGCGGCGUGCCUAACACAUGCAAGUCGAACGGAAAGGCCCUGCUUUUGUGGGGUGCUCGAGUGGCGAACGGGUGAGUAACACGUGAGUAACCUGUCACUGACUUUGGGAUAACUUCAGGAAACUGGGGCUCAUACCGGAUAGGAGCUAUUGCCGCUUGGUGGGGGUUGGAAAGAUUCGGCGGUUGGGGAUGGACUCGCGGCUUAUCAGCUUGUUGGUGGGGUAGUGGCUUACCAAGGCUUUGACGGGUAGCCGGCCUGAGAGGGUGACCGGCCACAGUGGGACUGAGAUACGGCCCAGACUCCUACGGGAGGCAGCGGUGGAGAAGAUUGCACAAUGGGCGGAAGCCUGAUGCAGCAACGCCGCGUGCGGGAUAACGGCCUUCGGGUUGUAAACCGCUUUCGCCUGUGACGAGGCGUUAGUGACGGUAAUGGGUAAAGAAGCACCGGCUAACUACGUG